rnacentral:SRP_RNA from 1 species
GGCUAGGACAAUGGCGGGCUAGUGAAUUGUGUCAGAUCCGGAAGGAAGCAGCACUAAGCAAGUACCGCCAUGUGUCUGAUUGAAU